rnacentral:rRNA from 1 species
CAUGCUCCACUGCUUGUGCGGGCCCCCGUCAAUUCCUUUGAGUUUCAACCUUGCGAUCGUACUUCCCAGGUGGAAUACUUAAUGCGUUAGCUCAGAUACUGAACCCAUUCGGGCCCAACAUCUAGUAUUCAUCGUUUAGGGCGUGGACUACCAGGGUAUCUAAUCCUGUUUGCUACCCACGCUUUCGUGCUUUAGCGUCAGUAAUGGACCAAGUGACUGCCUUCGCCAUUGGUGUUCUAUCUGAUAUCUACGCAUUUCACUGCUACACCAGACAUUCCAUCACUCUCUUCCAUACUCUAGACUUGCAGUAUCAAAGGCAGUUUCACAGUUAAGCUGUGAGAUUUCACCUCUGACUUACAAAUCCGCCUGAGCACCCUUUACACCCAGUAAAUCCGGACAACGCUUGCCCCCUACGUAUUACCGCGGCUGCUGGCACGUAGUUAGCCGGGGCUUACUUUAGAAGUACCAUCAUUUCCCAUCUAAUGGGAAUUUUUUCCUUCUUUACAGGAGUUUACAAGCUGAAAGCCCUUCAUCCUCCACGCGGCGUUGCUGCUUCAGGAUUUCUCCCAUUGAGCAAUAUUCCUUACUGCUGCCUCCC